rnacentral:rRNA from 1 species
GCCAACAACCGUAUCACCCUGAAUGCGCCCGAUCUCGUUUAGAUCUCGGAAGCCAAGGAGGGUUGAGCCUUGUUGGUACUUGGAAUGGGACAGGCCAACCUUGGGGUUGUGCGUA